rnacentral:rRNA from 1 species
ACGGGGCUAAACCAUGCACCGAAGCUGCGGCAGCGAACGUAUCACUUAAAGCGAUUCAGCGGGUUACGAUUGACGGAGCGAAGCGACGUCAAAGCGUAUACAAAGUCGAGUCGGUUUAAGGAUACGUUCGUUGGGUAGGGGAGCGUUCUGUAAGCCUGUGAAGGUGGCCUGUGAGGGUUGCUGGAGGUAUCAGAAGUGCGAAUGCUGACAUAAGUAACGAUAAAGCGGGUGAAAAGCCCGCUCGCCGGAAGACCAAGGGUUCCUGUCCAACGUUAAUCGGGGCAGGGUGAGUCGACCCCUAAGGCGAGGCCGAAAGGCGUAGUCGAUGGGAAACGGGUUAAUAUUCCCGUACUUGGUGUUACUGCGAAGGGGGGACGGAGAAGGCUAUGUUGGCCGGGCGACGGUUGUCCCGGUUUAAGCGUGUAGGCUGGUUUUCCAGGCAAAUCCGGAAAAUCAAGGCUGAGGCGUGACGACGAGGCACUACGGUGCUGAAGCAACAAAUGCCCUGCUUCCAGGAAAAGCCUCUAAGCAUCAGGUAACAUCAAAUCGUACCCCAAACCGACACAGGUGGUCAGGUAGAGAAUACCAAGGCGCUUGAGAGAACUCGGGUGAAGGAACUAGGCAAAAUGGUGCCGUAACUUCGGGAGAAGGCACGCUGACACGUAGGUGAAGUGAUUUACUCAUGGAGCUGAAGUCAGUCGAAGAUACCAGCUGGCUGCAACUGUUUAUUAAAAACACAGCACUGUGCAAACACGAAAGUGGACGUAUACGGUGUGACGCCUGCCCGGUGCCGGAAGGUUAAUUGAUGGGGUCAGCGCAAGCGAAGCUCCUGAUCGAAGCCCCGGUAAACGGCGGCCGUAACUAUAACGGUCCUAAGGUAGCGAAAUUCCUUGUCGGGUAAGUUCCGACCUGCACGAAUGGCGUAAUGAUGGCCAGGCUGUCUCCACCCGAGACUCAGUGAAAUUGAACUCGCUGUGAAGAUGCAGUGUACCCGCGGCAAGACGGAAAGACCCCGUGAACCUUUACUAUAGCUUGACACUGAACAUUGAGCCUUGAUGUGUAGGAUAGGUGGGAGGCUUUGAAGUGUGGACGCCAGUCUGCAUGGAGCCGACCUUGAAAUACCACCCUUUAAUGUUUGAUGUUCUAACGUGGACCCGUAAUCCGGGUUGCGGACAGUGUCUGGUGGGUAGUUUGACUGGGGCGGUCUCCUCCUAAAGAGUAACGGAGGAGCACGAAGGUUGGCUAAUCCUGGUCGGACAUCAGGAGGUUAGUGCAAUGGCAUAAGCCAGCUUGACUGCGAGCGUGACGGCGCGAGCAGGUGCGAAAGCAGGUCAUAGUGAUCCGGUGGUUCUGAAUGGAAGGGCCAUCGCUCAACGGAUAAAAGGUACUCCGGGGAUAACAGGCUGAUACCGCCCAAGAGUUCAUAUCGACGGCGGUGUUUGGCACCUCGAUGUCGGCUCAUCACAUCCUGGGGCUGAAGUAGGUCCCAAGGGUAUGGCUGUUCGCCAUUUAAAGUGGUACGCGAGCUGGGUUUAGAACGUCGUGAGACAGUUCGGUCCCUAUCUGCCGUGGGCGCUGGAGAACUGAGGGGGGCUGCUCCUAGUACGAGAGGACCGGAGUGGACGCAUCACUGGUGUUCGGGUUGUCAUGCCAAUGGCACUGCCCGGUAGCUAAAUGCGGAAGAGAUAAGUGCUGAAAGCAUCUAAGCACGAAACUUGCCCCGAG